CCUACGGGAGGCAGCAGUGGGGAAUAUUGCACAAUGGGGGAAACCCUGAUGCAGCGACGCCGCGUGAGGGAAGAAGGAUUUCGGGAUGUAAAGCUCUAUUAGCAGGGAAGAAAAUGACGGUACCUGACGAAUAAGCCCCGGCUAACUACGUGCCAGCAGCCGCGGUAAUACGGAGGGAGCAAGCGUUAUCCGGAUUUACUGGGUGUAAAGGGGGCGUAGGCGGGAUAACAAGUCCGGGGUGAAAUUCUGUGGCUUAACCCUAGAACUGCUGUUGAAACUGUGCAGCUAGAGUGCAGGUGAGGUAGGUGGAAUGCGUGGUGUAGCGGUGAAAUGCGUAGAUAUUACGAGGAACACCGAUUGCGAAGGCGGCUUACUAGACUAUAACUGACGCUGAGGCACGAAAGCGUGGGGAGCAAACAGGAUUAGAUACCCUUGUAGUC
rnacentral:rRNA from 1 species